rnacentral:rRNA from 1 species
UACGUAGGGUGCGAGCGUUAAUCGGAAUUACUGGGCGUAAAGGGUGCGCAGGCGGUUAUAUAAGACAGAUGUGAAAUCCCCGGGCUCAACCUGGGAACUGCGUUUGUGACUGUAUGACUAGAGUACGGUAGAGAGGGGUGGAAUUCCUGGUGUAGCAGUGAAAUGCGUAGAUAUCAGGAGGAACAUCGAUGGCGAAGGCAGCCCCUUAGACCUGUACUGACGCUCAUGCACGAAAGCGUGGGGAGCAAACAGG